rnacentral:rRNA from 1 species
GAUGAACGCUAGCGGCAGGCUUAAUACAUGCAAGUCGAGGGGCAGCAGCUCUGUAGCAAUACAGAGGCUGGCGACCGGCAAACGGGUGCGGAACACGUACGCAACUUACCCAUAACUGGUGAAUAGCCCUCCGAAAGGAGGAUUAAUACAUCGUAACAUAAUGAGAUGGCAUCAUUUUAUUAUUAUAGCUCUCGGGCGGUUAUGGAUGGGCGUGCGGCUGAUUAGGUAGUUGGCGGAGUAAUAGCCCACCAAGCCAACGAUCAGUAACUGGUGUGAGAGCACGACCAGUCACAC